UCAAACUUGGUCAUUUAGAGGAAGUAAAAGUCGUAACAAGGUCUCCGUUGGUGAACCAGCGGAGGGAUCAUUACAGAGUUAUCGCAACUCCCAAACCCAUGUGAACAUACCCCGCGUUGCCUCGGCAGGUGGCGCCCUACCCUGUAGGCGACCCUGCCGACGGCCCACGAAACUCCUGUUUCUAGAGCAUUGGACUUCUGACGAGAUAACUAAAUACGUUAAAACUUUCAACAACGGAUCUCUUGGUUCUGGCAUCGAUGAAGAACGCAGC
rnacentral:misc_RNA from 1 species